rnacentral:rRNA from 1 species
AUUGAACGCUGGCGGCAUGCUUUACACAUGCAAGUCGAACGGUAACAGGGUGCUUGCACCGCUGACGAGUGGCGAACGGAUGAGUAAUGCGUCGGAACGUGCCGAGUAGUGGGGGAUAACGCAGCGAAAGUUGUGCUAAUACCGCAUACGUACUGAGGUAGAAAGUGGGGGACCUUCGGGCCUCGCGCUAUUCGAGCGGCCGACGUCUGAUUAGCUAGUAGGUGAGGUAAAGGCUCACCUAGGCGACGAUCAGUAGCGGGUCUGGGAGGAUGGGCCGCCACACUGGGACUGAGACAGGGCCCAGACUCCUACGGGAGGCAGCAGUUGGGAAUUUUGGACAAGGGGCGAAAGCCUGAUCCAGCCAUGCCGCGUGUCUGAAGAAGGCCUUCGGGUUGUAAAGGACUUUUGUCAGGGAGGAAAUCCCUAGUGCUAAUAACACUGGGGGAUGACAGUACCUGAAGAAUAAGCACCGGCUAACUACGUGCCAGCCGCCGCCGUAA